rnacentral:rRNA from 1 species
AUGAUACAUGAACGUGCUGAUUACAAGUCACUUGAUCCCGCUGAUAUUCUCGAGAGGCUAAAUACUCAUGAGUUCCAACUUGCUGAAAAGAGAGAUCUCUAUGGUUCAAGCUAUGGCAGAACACGUGCACUGAAGGCCAAGGCAGUAUCUGAGUCCGAAGAUGAAGACUCUGGUAGCAGCCUUGGUGAUCCUGAAGAACUGAGCCAUGAUCUGGCUCUGCUCGUGAAGAAGUUUCAAAAGUUCUCAAGAUGUGAUCGCCUUGGAAGAUCCUCAAGGAGCAAUGAUUCCUCACCCAGUGACUACAAGAAGAGGUUCUGUCACAAGUGCAAGAAACUUGGACAUUUCAUUCAAGAUUGUCCUCAGUGGAAAAAGGAAUCAAAGAAGAAGAAAUACAAGGAUUACAGUUCUGAUGAUGCGAAGAAAAAGAAGAAAUCCACAAAAUCUUCAUCAUCAAAAUCCUAA